ACGCUGGCGGCGUGCCUAAUACAUGCAAGUCGAACGAACUUCCGUUAAUUGAUUAUGACGUGCUUGCACUGAAUGAGAUUUUAACACGAAGUGAGUGGCGGACGGGUGAGUAACACGUGGGUAACCUGCCCAGAAGCAGGGGAUAACACCUGGAAACAGAUGCUAAUACCGUAUAACAGAGAAAACCGCCUGGUUUUCUUUUAAAAGAUGGCUCUGCUAUCACUUCUGGAUGGACCCGCGGCGCAUUAGCUAGUUGGUGAGGUAACGGCUCACCAAGGCGAUGAUGCGUAGCCGACCUGAGAGGGUAAUCGGCCACAUUGGGACUGAGACACGGCCCAGACUCCUACGGGAGGCAGCAGUAGGGAAUCUUCCACAAUGGACGCAAGUCUGAUGGAGCAACGCCGCGUGAGUGAAGAAGGGUUUCGGCUCGUAAAGCUCUGUUGUUAAAGAAGAACGUGGGUGAGAGUAACUGUUCACCCAGUGACGGUAUUUAACCAGAAAGCCACGGCUAACUACGUGCCAGCAGCCGCGGUAAUACGUAGGUGGCAAGCGUUAUCCGGAUUUAUUGGGCGUAAAGCGAGCGCAGGCGGUCUUUUAAGUCUAAUGUGA
rnacentral:rRNA from 1 species